AGUGAACGCUGGCGGUAGGCCUAACACAUGCAAGUCGAACGGCAGCACAGUAAGAGCUUGCUCUUACGGGUGGCGAGUGGCGGACGGGUGAGGGAUACAUCUGAAUCUACUUUUUCGUGGGGGAUAACGUAGGGAAACUUACGCUAAUACCGCAUACGACCUACGGGUGAAAGCAGGGGAUCUUCGGACCUUGCGCGAUUGAAUGAGCCGAUGUCGGAUUAGCUAGUUGGCGGGGUAAAGGCCCACCAAGGCGACGAUCCGUAGCUGGUCUGAGAGGAUGAUCAGCCACACUGGAACUGAGACACGGUCCAGACUCCUACGGGAGGCAGCAGUGGGGAAUAUUGGACAAAGGGCGCAAGCCUGAUCCAGCCAUACCGCGUGGGUGAAGAAGGCCUUCGGGUUGUAAAGCCCUUUUGUUGGGAAAGAAAAGCAGCAGGUUAAUACCCCGCUGUUCUGACGGUACCCAAAGAAUAAGCACCGGCUAACUUCGUG
rnacentral:rRNA from 1 species